rnacentral:lncRNA from 1 species
AUGUGUCCCGUUGACAAGGAGGAAGAGGAAGAGGAAGAGGAAGGGAAGUCGCUGCAGCAGAUCCCCCACCUACUCAUCUCUCCCUCCCACUGCAAAGUGAAUCAGUGGCUCCGGGCAAACAUCUGGCAGAAGGAAGGAAUUAAGAACGGAUGGAUGGAUGGCGAAUCUACUCUCAACCAUGAGCCCACCUGGGAGUUUUCUCCUCCAAAAACAAUGGUUCUGAUUCACCAACAUCUGGAUGAGCUCUUUUGAAUUCUAAUAUCUGUCCUUUUAGUAAAAGGAUGUGAUGAAAACUAACCCAAGGAAGAUCUGAAAAACAACUGAAAGCACAAAUGCAAAAUUACCAGUGGGCAUUGCCUCACACAUGAGCAAUUAGAGCAAAAUCUCCCAAGUCUGACGGAAUUAACCUUGUGCCAACUAAGGGAGCAGUUUAAUAACUCCUCUUGUCAGAGAUUUUUCCGAUGAAAGAACUAAAGACAAGCCCAAGUCAGAAGAACAAUAAAGCAGGUAAAAACUCGUAUUGAACAAAGACAGAGACCCAUUCUUGUGAUUGGCAAGCCAUUGGUCACGGUUCAGUAACACAGAGAUGGUUCCAUUCCCUCGGUGACUCACACGAUUCUCCCCCAGAAAGACGGUGCUGCCAGGAUAUGAGUAGCUAGCUCAAAUAAUUGCAGGGUGCUUGCUCUUUGCCACCGGGGCUCCUGUUUCCGUAGAGAUCACAUCUUCCCCUAAUCAGAGCAGGAUUUUCAUAUGACCCAGCCAAAUAGCCCGUGUCCUUGACAUCUCAGGCAAAUUAGGGGGGAUUUUGAGUAGCAAGAACAGGAAAUUAAGAUUCUAGUAGAGCUGGUUGGAUUUUCUAGGAAGGAAUACAGACACAAUAGUUACCUCGCCAUCAUCAUGGUACUAAGUCUUUGCCUGCCUCAUCUCAAUUAAUCCCUGUAACAACCUCUCUGAGGUAUUAUCCUUCCCACAUUAGAAGUGGGAGAACUGGGGGCUCCUGGGUGGCUCAGUCGGUUAAGCAUCUGCCUUCGACUCAGGUCAUGAUCCCAGGGUCUUGGGAUCGAGCCCCGUGUCAGGCUCCCUGCUCGGCAGGGAGUCUGCUUCUCCCUCUGCUUCUGCCUCUCCCCUUGCUUGUGCUCUCUCACUCACUCUCUCUUUGUCUGUUUCAAACAAAUAAAGUCUUUUUUUCCAAAAGUAAGGGCACUAAGAUACAGUGUGGCUAAGUAAUUUGCCCAAGGCCACACAGCUAGUAAUGGCAGAGCCAAAAUUCAAACCUAGGAGUGUCUGGCACCAGAUCCUUUACUUACCUUAUUCACUUCUCAAUAAGCCCUGUCCUUAGAGGAAGAACUGGGGAGAGAUUGGUAUGAAAAUGCUUUUUAAAAAUAAUGUUUUUUAGGGGCAACUGGGUGACUGAGUCAGCUAAGCUUCUGACUCUUGAUUUCAGCUCAGGUCAUGAUCUCAGGGUUGUGAGAUCAAGCCCCUUAUUGGGCUCUGUGCUGGGCAUGGAGACUGCUUAAGAUUCUCUCUCUCUCUCUCCCUCUUUUUUAUUUCUCUCUCCCUCUUUCUCCUGCCUCUCCCUUAUCCUCUCCGUCUCACUAAAAUAAACAAAUAAAUAAAAUAAAAAUAAAAAUAAAAAUAAUUUUUAAAGAAAGAUGACAUUCAACUCAUCCCAGUCUGCUGUCCUGAUGCUCCACCCAAGAAUCAUGGAAGGCUCUUCUACGCCACAGACCAUCCGUGAACAGUGCCUGGGUACUGUAGAGCUGCUACCACAUCCAAAAUUAACAGCUAGAGUGAACUGUCACAGAGACUAAUUUGACUGACACAGUGACCACUGAAUAGGAAACCCUACACUUAAGUUUCUCCUUGCCCCUUCUUUCCCUUUUAUUUAAUAGAGCCCCAUGGCUCUUGUUACAAUAAGGAAAAGAGAUACAUGCUUGAUUAUUUUUGGUUUUAACUUUUAUACCCAAUCCUGCUUUUAUUUUUUUUUAAGAUUUUAAUUAAUUUAUUUGAAAGAGAGAGAGAGCACAAGCAAGGAGGGGAAGAAAGAGAAGCAGACUCCCCAUUGAGCAGGGAGCCCAAGGUGGGGCUGGAUCCCAGGACCCCGGGAUCGUGAUCUGAGCCGAAGGCAGACACUUAACUGACCGAACCACCCAGGUGUCCCCACAUCCUGACUCUUAAAGGAUAUUUUAUAUUUUUCAUUCCAAAAAAAAUCUUCUUAAUGAAUGUGUUUUGAUUUGACUAGGAGAGAAAGCAGACACGGUUGGUUAGCAAUCCUCUCAGUUUCAGGGUCUUGGGUAAGGGACAGGAAAGGAACCCAUGCCGUGCCCUUCCCUCCUACGCAUCUCCCCCAUCCCUGAGGUCCUGCAAGUCUUUUGGAAAUACAGAGCAAAGAGAGAAGAAAUUAGAAGUAGUGGGGGAAAUGGAAUAGAGCGAUGGUAUAACUGUAACUCUAUAAAUUCGUUCUCAUUUUUUCCUCUCCCUCCCUGUUCACCCAUCUCCUUUGAAGACAGAGAGGGCCCAGAAGAUUCUGCUAUGAAUCUUUAGCGUAAGAAAGAGGGAAGUGGAAACUGCCAACGGGGUGCGGUGACCUCGCUGACGGGCUAAGGCCUCUGCUUAGACUUCAGAGUAAGUAUCCCGUGAGCCAGACCCCACAGAGAUGCCUGUUCUCAGGCUAGUUCUAUAGAUUUCCUACUUCAUUUGCAUUUAUUUUGUCUGCUUGUCAGUUUCAGUAAACACUUUAAUUAAUGAUAUAUUUUAAAGUCCUUGAUCAUGUGCCGUGUAGCUAAAGGGUACAAUUUUUUAAAUCAAUGAGGAAAAAAAAAAUCGCUACCAGGGCCCAAAAAAAUCACCAUCUAGAACAGCUGGUGUUUCGCAUAUAAAAGGGGUGGGGGUGUGAGACAGAAAUUCUCCAAGUCAGGAAUUCUAUAACUUUGCCUAGAAAGGGGUCUUUCUUGCAGUACAGUUCACUGGGAAAGCCGCCUCAAAGGUAACA